CCGGAUCGGUCCAGGCCACCACAGGCGGACGGGGAGCACCGGAGCCGGAGGAGGUGGCCGUGCUGUCGUGGGACAUCGUGAGGAGCUGCUCCGCCUCGGCGAUCUGACGGGCCAAGAUGUCGGCCGCAUCCCGCUCCCGCUCCCAGGCCAGGGCUGCCGCGCGCAGGCGCGCCUGUCCCUCGGCAGCGGCAGCCCGGGCAGCGACGAGGGCUGUCGCGAGGUUCCCAUCCGGAGGUGGUAGAGGAGGCGGGGCGGGGAAAGGUGGGCGAGCAGCCCCUCCCCCCACAGGAGCAGCUGCCACCCCUGUAAAAACAGG
rnacentral:lncRNA from 1 species